rnacentral:sRNA from 1 species
ACGAGAUGCCUCUCUGGCUGGGCGAAUAGGACCUUAGACAAGCUCUAUUCUUCCCGGUCAGAGGGGCAUCUCUGCGUCAGGACACCCGCUGAACACCCCGACUCAUCGGUGGAUCGAG